UAAUACGAAGGGUGCAAGCGUUAAUCGGAAUUACUGGGCGUAAAGGGUGCGUAGGCGGUUGUUUAAGUCUGUCGUGAAAUCCCCGGGCUCAACCUGGGAAUGGCGAUGGAUACUGGGCAGCUAGAGUGUGUCAGAGGAUGGUGGAAUUCCCGGUGUAGCGGUGAAAUGCGUAGAGAUCGGGAGGAACAUCAGUGGCGAAGGCGGCCAUCUGGGACAACACUGACGCUGAAGCACGAAAGCGUGGGGAGCAAACAGGAUUAGAUACCCUGGUAGUCCACGCCCUAAACGAUGCGAACUGGAUGUUGGUCUCAACUCGGAGAUCAGUGUCGAAGCUAACGCGUUAAGUUCGCCGCCUGGGGAGUACGGUCGCAAGACUGAAACUUAAAUGAAUUGACGG
rnacentral:rRNA from 1 species